rnacentral:lncRNA from 1 species
UAAUUGUAGGCUUAUAUUGCAUAUUGUGCACACCAUUUCCAUGACAAUGGUAGCUGAGAGGGUUCAUUGUUAAUAAUCCAGCACAGUUUCUCUUUUUUCUAUUUCCAAUGCUUCUAAUGUUGUGAUACCUGUAAGAUCUUUUAAUGGUCUUAGCAAAUGUGCUUGGUCCCACUUGAUAUCAAUCUUCUAAUUUUCCAAUGUGUAUGUUGUGCUUAUGUUCAUCUAUUCUCUUACGCAAACUUCUCUUAGUGCUGCCAAUAUAACAUUGGGAGCAAUCCUCUUCUAUGUUUUUUACAGGGAUGGAGUAAAUGCCAGCUUUUUUAUCGUGGGUACUUUAUCAUUUCAAAGGAUCUCAAAAAUAGUGGGGGCACACUUUCUAGCCAUCUUGAUUUGCCUAUGUUUUAUAAUGUUGGAAAGAACUCGGUCUGUGGCUUGAUAAUAAGUGAUGGGCAUGUAGAUGGGUUGGUCUACUUGGUUAUUCUGUUGUCUUUGUGGCAGGGGCCGGUUGAUAUUAUCCAAUAGUUUUCUCCAAAUACCCUCCAUAACUUAUCGUAAAUGUCAAAUGAAGCACUUUUCGCGGUAAAGUUCUUUAGGCAAGUUUAGUGGUGCUAAACAGAC